AAAUCCUUGCAAGAAACAAAAAAUUUAACUAAGUAAAGACCAGGUGGCUAAAGGAAAAUUAGUUCUAUACGAUGUUCACGUGUAUGACAAGAUACUGAUGAAGAAAAAUAGAAGAACGUAAUUCUAACUGUGACUGCUGCUUCAAAAAUCCAUAGCUUCCCAACUUGCGACCAGUAGCAACUUGAAAGUUACAAAAUAUUUAGAAGUCAGUCCCCUUUACAAAUGAUGAAAAUUCCACUAAACUCUAAUUUUUGUAAACCGAGUAAACGUUGCAUUCGAAA